GGCCAAGUAGCUCAGUUGGUAGAGCAGGGGAUUGAAAAUCCCCGUGUCGGCGGUUCGAUUCCGUCCUUGGCCACCA
rnacentral:tRNA from 8 species